rnacentral:rRNA from 1 species
UACGAGAGGCCCAAACGUUAUUCGGAUUUACUGGGCUUAAAGAGUUCGUAGGCGGCGCGGUAAGUCGGGUGUGAAAUCUCGGAGCUUAACUCCGAAACUGCAUUCGAUACUGCCGUGCUUGAGGACUGGAGAGGAGACUGGAAUUUACGGUGUAGCGGUGAAAUGCGUAGAUAUCGUGAGGAAGACCAGUGGCGAAGGCGGAUCUCUGAACAGCUCCUGACGCUGAGGCGCGAAGGCUAGGGGAGCAAACGGG